rnacentral:rRNA from 1 species
GAUGAACGCUGGCGGCGUGCCUAAUACAUGCAAGUCGAGCGAACGGACAGUAAGCUUGUUCUCUUACGGUUGGCGGGGGACGGGUGGGUACCACAUGGAUAGCCAACUACUAUUUCGGGGAUAAUUACGGAAAACCGAAUCUAAUACCGCAUAAUAUUUUCAACGGAUUGAUUCAAAGGUAAAUCAGGGCUUGCUCGUCUGUAUUAGCUGAUUCCGCGCUGCAUUAGCUAGUUGGUAAGGUAACGCCUAACCAAGGCAACGAUGCUUAGCCGACCUGAGAGGGUGAUCGGCCACACUGGAACUGAGACACGGUCCAGACUCCUACGGGAGGCAGCAGUAGGGAAUAUUGCGCAAUGGGCGAAAGCCUGACGGAGCAACGCCGCGUGAGUGAUGAAGGUCUUCGGAUCGUAAAGCUCUGUUAUUAGGGAAGAACAUAUGUGUAAGUAACUGUGCACGUCUUGACGGUACCUAAUCAGAAAGCAACGGCUAACUACGUG